rnacentral:tRNA from 1 species
GCUGAUAUAGCUCAAUUCGGUAGAGCAUCUGAUUUGUAAUCAGAGGGUUGGGAGUUCAAUUCUCUCUGUCAGCU